GCAAAUCUGGUGCCAGAAGCCUCGGUCAUACCAGAAGUGCAAGCGUUGUCCGGAUUUAUUGGGCGUAAAGGGGUUGGCAGGCGGUAUAGCACGUUUUGUCUUAAAUACUUGGGCUCAACCUAAGGAAAGGAUGAAAUACGGUUAUACUAGAGAUACACAGGGGCAAGUGGAACUGUGCAAGUAGGGGUUAAAUCCUUUGAUAUGCACAGGAACACCAAGGGCGAAGGCAGUUUGCUGGGUGUAUUCUGACGCUCAUCACCGAAGGCUAGGGGAGCAAAACGGAUUAGAUACCCGUGUAGUCCUAGCUGUAAACGAUGCUCGCUAGAGACUUGUCCUUUAUGGAUGGGUCUUGUAAGCUAACGCGUUAAGCGGGCCGCCUGGGGAGUACGGCCGCAAGGUUAAAACUUAAAGGAAUUGACGGGGGAUCGCACAAGCGGUGGAGCGCGUUCUUUAAUUGGAUGCUAAGCCAAGAACCUUACCAAGGUUUGACAUUCUAGUGUUAAUGCCGCUGUGAAAGCAG
rnacentral:rRNA from 1 species